rnacentral:rRNA from 1 species
AGAUUGAACGCUGGCGGCAGGCCUAACACAUGCAAGUCGAGCGGUAGAGAGGUGCUUGCAUCUCUUGAGAGCGGCGGACGGGUGAGUAAUGCCUAGGAAUCUGCCUAGUGGUGGGGGAUAACGUUCGGAAACGGACGCUAAUACCGCAUACGUCCUACGGGAGAAAGCGGGGGACCUUCGGGCCUCGCGCCAUUAGAUGAGCCUAGGUCGGAUUAGCUAGUUGGUGAGGUAAUGGCUCACCAAAGGCGACGAUCCGUAACUGGUCUGAGAGGAUGAUCAGUCACACUGGAACUGAGACACGGUCCAGACUCCUACGGGAGGCAGCAGUGGGGAAUAUUGGACAAAAGGGCGAAAGCCUGAUCCAGCCAUGCCGCGUGUGUGAAGAAGGUCUUCGGGUUGUAAAAGCAACUUUAAAGUUGGGAAGGAAGGGUUUGUAAACGUUAAUAACGUUGACAACUUUGACGUUACCGACAAGAAUAAGCAACCGGCUAACUUCGUGCCAGCAGCCG